rnacentral:rRNA from 1 species
AACGAACGCUGGCGGCAUGCCUAACACAUGCAAGUCGAACGAAGGCUUCGGCCUUAGUGGCGCACGGGUGCGUAACGCGUGGGAAUCUGCCCUUUGCUUCGGAAUAACAGUUAGAAAUGACUGCUAAUACCGGAUGAUGUCGCAAGACCAAAGAUUUAUCGGCAAAGGAUGAGCCCGCGUAGGAUUAGCUAGUUGGUGGGGUAAAGGCCUACCAAGGCGACGAUCCUUAGCUGGUCUGAGAGGAUGAUCAGCCACACUGGGACUGAGACACGGCCCAGACUCCUACGGGAGGCAGCAGUGGGGAAUAUUGGACAAUGGGCGAAAGCCUGAGCCAGCAAGGCCGCGUGAGUGAUGAAGGCCUUAGGGUUGUAAAGCUCUUUUACCCGGGAUGAUAAUGACAGUACCGGGAGAAUAAGCUCCGGCUAACUCCGU